CAGCAGCCGCGGGAAAACAGAGGGUGCGAGCGUUAAUCGGAUUUACUGGGCGUAAAGCGUGCGUAGGCGGCUUCUUAAGUCGGAUGUGAAAUCCCUGAGCUUAACUUAGGAAUUGCAUUCGAUACUGGGAAGCUAGAGUAUGGGAGAGGAUGGUAGAAUUCCAGGUGUAGCGGUGAAAUGCGUAGAGAUCUGGAGGAAUACCGAUGGCGAAGGCAGCCAUCUGGCCUAAUACUGACGCUGAGGUACGAAAGCAUGGGGAGCAAACAGGAUUAGAGACCCGUGUAGUCCCUGUCUCUUAUAC
rnacentral:rRNA from 1 species